GCGCCUAGCCUUGCAAGUUGUUUUUUGUUGAACAGAAGAAGCUAUUCAAAAAUGUCCAGGACUCUGUUAUUUAUUCAGCAAGCUUACAAAGCCAUCUUUGAUUGACUGAUUCUUUGACAAUGACUAUCUGGAUGACACAGGAAGGAUGCAAUUCUGGCCUUGGAGAGAAAACUUGCAAGGAAAGGAACAUGUUUGAAUUUCAGAUGUGUUCCUCAAUGAAUCACUUGAAGAUGAAAAUUCUAAGUAAUCUCACCAGGUUGGACAACUGGCUAUGAAAUGGCAUGAAAUAUCUGUUCCCAAUACUAUCU
rnacentral:lncRNA from 10 species